rnacentral:rRNA from 1 species
UUUCUGGAAUGAGAUAUUUUUGAAACUCGGGCCUUAGGAUGGGGCUGCGGCGGAUUAGGUUGUUGGCGGGGUAAUGGCCCACCAAGCCUUAGAUCCGUAAGGGCCUUUAGCGAGGAAGCCCUGAGAGGGAAUCUGAGACACUAUUCCCAGCCCUACGGGGUGCAGCAGCUAGGAAUUUUUUGCAAUGCGCGAAAGCGUGACAAAGCGAGCCAGAGUGUUUCUCUUAUAAGAGAAACUUUUGCCUGCUGUAAAAAGGCAGGCGAAUAAGGACUGGGCAAGACUGGUGCCAGCCGCCGCGGUAAUCCCAGCAGUCCAAGUUGCAACCACAAUUAUUGGGUCUAAAACAUCCGUAGCUUGUCUUGUAAGUUUCUUGUGAAAUCCUAUCUCUUAAGGAUAGGGCAGGCAUGAAAUACUACAAGGCUAGAGACCGGGCGACGCAAGAAGUACAGUUGAGGUAGUGGUAAAAUACGUUAAUCUCAAUUGGACUAACAACAGCGAAGGCAUCUUGCGAGAACGGAUCUGACAGUAAGGGAUGAAGGCUAGGGUCGCGAAUCGGAUUAGAUACCCGAGUAGUCCUAGCAGUAAACACUGCACACUAAACAUCAGUAUCUCCUCGAGAGAUAAUGGUGCUGUAGGGAAGCUGAAGAGUGUGCUACCUGGGAAGUAUAGCCGCAAGGCCGAAACUUAAAGGAAUUGGCGGGGGGGCACUACAACGGGUGACGCGUGCGGUUUAAUUAGAUUCUACACCGUGAACCUCACCAGGAGCGACAGCAGAAUGAAGGUCAGUCUGAAGGGCUUACUUGACACGCUGAGAGGAGCUACAUAGUCGACGUCAGCCUGUGUCGUGAGAUGACCUGUUAAAUCAGGUAACAGGCGAGACCCGUGUGCAUAGUUGCUACGUUAAGAGCACUCUAUGCAGACUGCCUUGGUAACAAGGAUGAAGGUGCGGGCUACGUUAGGUGGCAUGACCCGAAUCCCCUGGGCUACACGCGCGCGGCAAUGCUGCACUCAAUGAGAUGCAACUCCGAAAGGAGAAGCCAAUCCCAUAAAAUGCAGCUCAGUUCAGAUUGAAGCUUGCAACCUAGCUUCAUGACGAUGGAAUCCGUAGUAAUCGUUCGUUAUCAGCGAACGGUGAAUAAGUCCCUGCUCCUUGCACACACCGCCCGUCAAACCAACCGAGUUAUGCACUGGUGAGGCUCGUUAGAGACGAACCUAUGUAUGACAAGGUAGGUUAAGUC